UACCGAGGGUGCGAGCGUUCAUCGGAAUUACUGGGCGUAAAGCGCACGUAGGUGGCGACGUAAGUCGGGUGUGAAAGCCCCGGGCUCAACCUGGGAAUUGCAUUCGAGACUGCAUUGCUGGAGUACGGAAGAGGAAGGCGGAAUUCCCGGUGUAGCGGUGAAAUGCGUAGAUAUCGGGAGGAACAUCAGUGGCGAAGGCGGCCUUCUGGUCCAGUACUGACACUCAAGUGCGAAAGCGUGGGGAGCAAACAGG
rnacentral:rRNA from 1 species